UUCAAAGGUCAUAAAUGCAGCCCCUGUGACACAAACUGGAGAUAUUAUGGAGAUAGCUGCUAUGGGUUCUUCAGGCACAACUUAACAUGGGAAGAGAGUAAGCAGUACUGCACUGACAUGAAUGCUACUCUCCUGAAGAUUGACAACCGGAACAUUGUGGAGUACAUCAAAGCCAGGACUCAUUUAAUUCGUUGGGUCGGAUUAUCUCGCCAGAAGUCGAAUGAGGUCUGGAAGUGGGAGGAUGGCUCGGUUAUCUCAGAAAAUAUGAAAACCCAAAUCAUGAUAUUUUGAAGAUCAGAGAUGUGGCUCUCCGUCAUUUUGGCAUCCCACUGGGCCGGGAUCUGUAUUUCACUGAGAAUGCUCUGCUGCACAAACUAUACAAGCCCCCUUCCCUCUAGGCCCAGCUACUGUCACAGAAGAGGAGGGGGCAGAAGAUUGUAAGGGCUGGUUUUAAAGAAAAAAAUUAGGUCAAGGUCAAACCUCCAAAUCAAGGAGGGGUUACAAAAAUGCCUAAACAGCUGGUAAAACAAGUUUAGUUGCUUUCUAAACGAUUAUGUGUCACUUUUGCAUCUACCCCAACCAUGAAAAUUUAUUUGCUUAUUAUAGAAUUACAGGAAAAUAUUUACUAACAGGAUAAAAAAUACCUUGUAACAAAGCCUCUUGGGUAUAAUACUCCCAGUUAUGAGUUAUGGAGAUAAACAUAUCUAUCUAUAUAUUUUUUUUCAGAACAAUGCUUAUGUUUGCAUAGCUAAUUGCUGUAUGUCUUUAACAAAAGCCAAGCUU
rnacentral:lncRNA from 10 species